UCUUUUCAUCAAAAUUUUGUUCCAUUGCUGAAAAUUAUUCUUCAUUACCCCCACAUCAAAAUCUAUUCCUUAUUUUAACUUGUUUUCCAACUGGACUCGUGAUCGCAAUUAGGAACACUUUUUGAUUGUUGCCAAGAAUCGGACCUGAUUUAGGUAUCCCGAAUCAGAUUAGAACAUGAGGAACAUUGCUUGAGACCUCGACGACAGCAUCUGCGACGAUCUUGUUGUGUACCCACAACCAAAGGUAGAUUCCAUCUGCAGCAUUUUGUUGUGUGUCCACAGCCAUCGGUGAUAAAAUUGCAAACUAUUGAUGGUUAACCCACAACCUGGUGUGCUGGCGGUUGGAGUUCUAAGAAACUCCUAUUGUAGUGUAUAGCGGUGGGGUAAGAUCAUUUUUGUUAAAAAUUGAUAUUGUAUGACAUCUAUGAAAGUAUGUGCAUACAAACCUGGAAUUUCUAUUAAAAUAUAUUUAUAUCUACAUAUAUGAAUGAGUAAUUUGUGAAA